UACGAGGGGGGCGAGCGUUGUUCGGAAUUAUUGGGCGUAAAGGGUGCGUAGGCGGUUUGGUAAGUCUUAUGUGAAAUCUAUGGGCUCAACUCAUAGUCUGCAUGAGAAACUGCCGGGCUUGAGUAUGGGAGAGGUGAGUGGAAUUCCUGGUGUAGCGGUGAAAUGCGUAGAUAUCAGGAGGAACACCUGUGGCGAAGGCGGCUUCCUGGCCUGUAACUGACGCUGAGGCGCGAAAGCUAGGGGAGCAAACAGG
rnacentral:rRNA from 1 species